rnacentral:rRNA from 1 species
GUGGGGAAUAUUGGACAAUGGGCGCAAGCCUGAUCCAGCCAUGCCGCGUGAGUGAUGAAGGCCUUAGGGUUGUAAAGCUCUUUCAGUGGGGACGAUAAUGACGGUACCAGCAGAAGAAGCCCCGGCUAACUCCGUGCCAGCAGCCGCGGUAAUACGGAGGGGGCUAGCGUUGUUCGGAAUUACUGGGCGUAAAGCGCACGUAGGCGGAUUGGAAAGUUGGGGGUGAAAUCCCGGGGCUCAACCCCGGAACUGCCUUCAAAACUCCCAGUCUUGAGGUCGAGAGAGGUGAGUGGAAUUCCGAGUGUAGAGGUGAAAUUCGUAGAUAUUCGGAGGAACACCAGUGGCGAAGGCGGCUCACUGGCUCGAUACUGACGCUGAGGUGCGAAAGCGUGGGGAGCAAACAGGAUUAGAAACCCGGGUAGUCC